rnacentral:rRNA from 1 species
UUAGAGUUUGAUCCUGGCUCAGAACGAACGCUGGCGGCAGGCUUAACACAUGCAAGUCGAACGCAUCCUUCGGGGUGAGUGGCAGACGGGUGAGUAACGCGUGGGAACGUGCCCUUCAGUUCGGAAUAACCCAGGGAAACUUGGGCUAAUACCGGAUACGUGCGAGAGCAGAAAGAUUUAUCGCUGAAGGAUCGGCCCGCGUCUGAUUAGCUAGUUGGUGAGGUAAUGGCUCACCAAGGCGACGAUCAGUAGCUGGUCUGAGAGGAUGAUCAGCCACAUUGGGACUGAGACACGGCCCAAACUCCUACGGGAGGCAGCAGUGGGGAAUAUUGGACAAUGGGCGCAAGCCUGAUCCAGCCAUGCCGCGUGAGUGAUGAAGGCCUUAGGGUUGUAAAGCUCUUUCAGUGGGGACGAUAAUGACGGUACCCGCAGAAGAAGCCCCGGCUAACUUCGUGCCAGCAGCCGCGGUAAUACGAAGGGGGCUAGCGUUGUUCGGAAUCACUGGGCGUAAAGGGCGCGUAGGCGGCUUUGUAAGUCGGGGGUGAAAGCCUGUGGCUCAACCACAGAAUUGCCUUCGAUACUGCAUGGCUUGAGACCGGAAGAGGUUAGUGGAACUGCGAGUGUAGAGGUGAAAUUCGUAGAUAUUCGCAAGAACACCAGUGGCGAAGGCGGCUGACUGGUCCGGUUCUGACGCUGAGGCGCGAAAGCGUGGGGAGCAAACAGGAUUAGAUACCCUGGUAGUCCACGCCGUAAACGAUGAAUGCCAGCCGUUGGCGAGCUUGCUCGUCAGUGGCGCAGCUAACGCUUUAAGCAUUCCGCCUGGGGAGUACGGUCGCAAGAUUAAAAACUCAAAAGGAAUUGACGGGGGGCCCGCACAAGCGGUGGAGCAUGUGGUUUUAAUUCGAAGCAACGCGCAGAAACCUUACCAGCCUUUGACAUGUCCCGUAUGGAUCCUGGAGACAGGGAUUCUUCAGUUCGGCUGGGCGGGGAACACAGGGUGCUGCCAUGGGCUGUCGUCAGCUCGUGUUCGUGAGAUGAUGGGGUUAAGGUUCCGGCACCGAGCGCAAACCCUUCGGCCCUUAGUUGGCCAUCAAUUCCAGCUUGGGCACCUCCUAAAGGGG